CUCUUCCGAUCUUUGCCCGCUGGUCCCGCAGCCUCCCAACAGUCCUGACGUCGCCCCGGCAGACUUCUUCUUGUUUCCCAGCAUCAAGUCGAAGCUCAAAGGCAAGCAUUGGGGCACAAUUAAGGACAUCCAAGAAGCUACGACGAGGGCGCUGAAGGACCUACCCGUUGACGUCUUCCAGGGGACCUUCCGGGCAUGGAAAACUCGCCUACAAAAGUGCAUCGCUGCUGAAGGGUGUUAUUUUGAAGAGUACUAAUGUAUGGUACCGAUAAGUUCAAUAAAAGUAUUU